CUUCUGAUAUAAAAAGUAUUAAAAAAACCCACUUAAGCUGUUCUGUUUUACUGCUCCAGCAAUGACAGAAUGAGAACCAGAUUUAGUAUAUUGGCUGUAUAACUGGUUCAAUUUCUCUACUCUUUGAAAUCCCUGUCAGCCAGAAGAAAUAUUCAAUAGCUCAUGGGUGACCUUUCACUUCCCUCACUGGCAGCUGGUUACAAAGCAGGAUCUAGAGAAGAUGACCCAGGAGUCUAAAGGAUAA